UACGUAGGGUGCAAGCGUUGUCCGGAAUUAUUGGGCGUAAAGAGCUCGUAGGCGGUUUGUUGCGUCGGCUGUGAAAUCCCGAGGCUCAACCUCGGGUCUGCAGUCGAUACGAGCAAACUAGAGUGUUGCAGGGGAGACUGGAAUUCCUGGUGUAGCGGUGGAAUGCGCAGAUAUCAGGAGGAACACCAACGGCGAAGGCAGCUCGCUGGGACGGUACUGACGCUAAGGCGCGAAAGCGUGGGGAGCGAACAGG
rnacentral:rRNA from 1 species